rnacentral:rRNA from 1 species
GAUGAACGCUGGCGGCGUGCUUAACACAUGCAAGUCGAACGAUGAAGCCCAGCUUGCUGUGUGGAUUAGUGGCGAACGGGUGAGUAACACGUGAGUAACCUGCCCUUAACUCUGGGAUAAGCCUGGUAAACUGGGUCUAAUACCGGAUAGGAGCGUCCACCGCAUGGUGGGUGUUGGAAAGAUUUAUCGGUUUUGGAUGGACUCGCGGCCUAUCAGCUUGUUGGUGAGGUAAUGGCUCACCAAGGCGACGACGGGUAGCCGGCCUGAGAGGGUGAACGGCCACACGGGGACUGAGACACGGCCCAGAAUCCUACGGGAGGCAGCAGUGGGGAAUAUUGCACAAUGGGCGCAAGCCUGAUGCAGCGACGCCGCGUGAGGGAUGACGGCCUUCGGGUUGUAAACCUAUUUCAGUAGGGAAGAAGCGAAAGUGACGGUACCUGCAGAAGAAGCAACGGCUAACUACGUG